rnacentral:lncRNA from 1 species
UUCCUGCGCUCCAGUGUAACCUGAGGUGGUUAUCAAUGGUUGUUCGAGGUGGUUGAUGUUGGUUAGAGGUGGUCGGAGUUGGUUGGCGGUGUUCAAACGUGGUCGAGGAGGAGGACGAGGAAGACGAGGAGAACAAGGUGGACGAGGAGGACAAGGAUUUGUGCUCGGUUUAACCUGAGGUGGUUAUCGGUGAUUGUUCGAGGUGGUUGGUGGUGGUUGGAGGUGGUUGGAGGUGGUUUGUGGUGGUUGGAGGUAGUCGUAUGAGGACGAGGAAUACGAGGAGAACAAGGUGGACGAGGAGGCCGAGGAUUUGUGCUCGGUAUAACCCGUUAUGGUUAGCGGUGGUUGUUGGAGGUUGUUGGCGGUGGUUGGCGGUGGUCGGAGGUGGUUGGCGGUGAUGAAAGGCGGCUGGCAAAGGAGGAGAAGACGGAGAAUCAGGACGAAGAGGACCAGGACAAAGACGACGAGGAGGACCAGGCGGACCAGGAGGACGGUGGUGGUCAAAGGUAGUAGGGGGUGUUAGGCAGGAGUAGGUGUAGAAAUGCUGGGAGUUAAGGAUAACAUGCAAGAAAUGUCGAAACUUGACGAUUGGUGAAUUUUCCACAUGACUGCUUGACUAUUAUACGAGUAAAUAUUUUACACACAAUGUUAUUCUACACGUAAUUAUGGCAACAGAAAAAUUAGACCACACAUGAAUACAAAACCUAAAAUUACGCUGUACAUAAUUAUACUACACGAAAUUAUUCUACACAUGAUCAUACCAUAUCAAAUCAUACUGAACGUAAUUAAACGACAUAGAAUUAUACCACACAGUUAUAUUACUCAAAAUCAUAGUACACAUGAAUAUGCCACGCACAAUCAUUCAACUCAUAUUCUUCCAGUAAAUAAUGAUUGAACUUAUGUGUAUUGAACUAUCUGCUACGCAACUACCAUUUAUAAGUAUAACCAACUGAACUGUGAAAAUAAGAUACUCUAGGUAAAAUAUUGAUACAAAAUCGAUUGUACGAGUAGGAAAGUGACUAUUCUGUGAUUUGACAUGUAUGCAACCAUCGUAACUAACUCGUCUUUUUUUAUCAUUAAAAUAUUAAGUUGUGGGUUUUGAUAUAAAUGUAAGUUAAGACGGGCUGCAGAUAGGUGCAUUAUAUAACACUGCAGAUUAUGACCUAAUGUUAAAGGAUACUGAUUUAUUCUUGUCUAACCUAUUAUGUGAAUAAAAUAAAAAGUAUUAUACCA